UGAGAGAAAGACUGAGUGUGAGACUUUGAUAUUAGAUAAAAUGAAUAUUGACAAAGUUUACCUUUACGUACAGAAUCAAAAUAUUUUAAAAAAUUGCAAUAAUAUCGUAUCGUGGGAUGUAUGGUGAUUCCCACCUCUAACAUAUAUAUAUAGUCCAACAGCACACAGUUCAACGUCCGGGCAACAAAUCCUUUCUUUAAUUGUUAUGUGGGCAGCCACCGUCCGGUUAUAUCACACUGUGCAGAUAUGUGAACUGAUAGCUUCAUCAAGCAGGUGGUGGCCAAUGAGUAUCAGAGUGUUCGCUCUGGCAUAACUGAUCCACAUGACUUUGCUUUUGGCAGCACUGAUCCGCAGUCCUAUCUUUGACGCUUCAUUUUCUAGCAUGGCGGUCACAAAUGGAGCGUUGAGUAGAUCCAACCAGCGCAAUGUCAUCCGCAAAAUCAAGAUCUGCAAUUUGUCGUCCGUCAUGUCCUUGGACUCUAUGCUUGCCAUCCCGCAGUGUACGCUGCAUGAUGAAAUCCACAACCAGUACAAACAGGAAUGGCAAAAUAACGCAGCCUUGUCACACUCCCGUCUUGAUCUCGAACGAGUCUGAAAUCCCACUAUUAGUACAGACGCAGUGACUAGACUCAUGGCAGAUGUUUCUUAGGUGGGUAAACAAACAUCUCCAGGAUGCUGUAGGACCUGGUUAUUCUCCAGAUCAUUUCUCGAUGCAACGCAAAAGUGUUUCUUUCAAACACUUUUGUAAAGUCUAUGAAUUUAUGACAUAAAGAGGUGCUAAAGUUUCUGCUAGACUUCAUAGCUAGAUAAUUAUGUUUUUGCUCAAAACCCUUUUUUUUAAGUUCACCUGUUUAUUUUUUGUUGUUGCAGGAAGCAAACUGGAGAAUAUUCAGUUUUAUAUGACAAUUGCACUCAUAGCAGUUAUAAUAUUUGCUGCUGUGAUGGUCGUGAUAGGUUUCAUAGUAAACACUGUGGCUCGUCGGCUAGCAGAGAGCAAGAAAGGAGACCAGAUCCAAUGCAAAUCAAACCACACACAAUCUUCUCUUUAAAGUAUUUGUGGGAAUGUGUUUUAUGAUCUUUCACUGAUUCCACCAAAUACAACUUGCAGAGAUUUUAAACCCACUGUAGAUAUGUUCUCCCUCUGGCCCUUCACUUUUUCCCUUAUUAGAUCGUUUUUCUAAACCAAAUAUAUCUUUAAAGUACAAGCUUACAUGAUUGUCAAACAAUUACUGCACACUAAUGUUUUCCUGUGUGUGUGUCGCAUGAAUUUACUGCACCUGAGCAUCAUCAGCUUAACUGUGAGCUCAGAGAAAACAUACAAUAUUUUACUCUGGAUGUAGCCUGUAUACAGAUUUUUAUGAGGCUUCAUUUAACUUAUUUUCAGCUCUGAAUGCUUUCGGCAGAUUUAAAGCACAUGCUGGAUUCAUGUAUUUCAAUAUAAAGCCUGAAUUUCUUAUGAAGAUGCUGAAUAUCAUUAACCUUGAUUUAAACUAAAUUCCAGCAGGUAAACAGACAACAACAGCUGCCUUUUGCAUCAUGUGUAUUUUUUAUUUUUUUUUUCAUUUGUGUCCAGCAAAGAAGUGACAGCAGUAAAAUUCAUCAUAUUUGUUGUGAAACAACUUUUUUCUUUGAUCUUAUCUCAUGAGUUUCU